rnacentral:rRNA from 1 species
AACGCGAAGAACCUUACCAAGGCUUGACAUCGGCGUGACCGGCUUAGAGAUAGGCCUUCCCUUCGGGGCACGCUAGACAGGUGGUGCAUGGUUGUCGUCAGCUCGUGUCGUGAGAUGUUGGGUUAAGUCCCGCAACGAGCGCAACCCUUGAUCUGUGUUGCCAGCGCGUCAUGGCGGGGACUCACAGAUGACUGCCGGUGACAAACCGGAGGAAGGCGGGGAUGACGUCAAAUCAUCAUGCCCCUUAUGUCUUGGGCUACACACGUGCUACAAUGGGCGGUACAACGGGAUGCGAAGCCGCGAGGUGGAGCGAAACCCGAAAAGCCGCUCACAGUUCGGAUUGUAGGCUGCAACUCGCCUGCAUGAAGCUGGAAUUGCUAGUAAUCGCGGAUCAGCAUGCCGCGGUGAAUACGUUCCCGGGCCUUGUACACACCGACAUA